rnacentral:rRNA from 1 species
UACGUAGGGGGCAAGCGUUGUCCGGAUUUAUUGGGCGUAAAGAGCGUGUAGGCGGUUUGGUAGGUCCGUUGUGAAAACUCGAGGCUCAACCUCGAGACGCCGAUGGAAACCAUCAGACUAGAGUCCGGAAGAGGAGAGUGGAAUUCCUGGUGUAGCGGUGAAAUGCGCAGAUAUCAGGAAGAACACCCGUGGCUAAGGCGGCUCUCUAGUACGGUACUGACGCUGAGACGCGAAAGCGUGGGUAGCAAACAGG